rnacentral:rRNA from 1 species
CCUACGGGAGGCAGCAGUAGGGAAUCUUCCACAAUGGGCGAAAGCCUGAUGGAGCAACGCCGCGUGAGUGAUGAAGGCCUUCGGGUUGUAAAACUCUGUCAUUCGGGACGAACCGGAGUCUGAGGAAAUGCAGACUCUCUGACGGUACCGGAGGAGGAAGCCCCGGCUAACUACGUGCCAGCAGCCGCGGUAAUACGUAGGGGGCAAGCGUUGUCCGGAUUCACUGGGCGUAAAGCGCGCGCAGGCGGUGAUGUAAGUCUGAGGUGAAAACCCGAAGCUCAACUUCGGGACUGCCUUGGAUACUGCGUCACUUGAGGAUAGGAGAGGCAAGGGGAAUUCCACGUGUAGCGGUGAAAUGCGUAGAGAUGUGGAGGAACACCUGUGGCGAAGGCGCCUUGCUGGCCUAUUUCUGACGCUGAGGCGCGAAAGCGUGGGGAGCAAACAGGAUUAGAUACCCUGGUAGUCCACGCUGUAAACGAUGAGUGCUAGGUGUAGGUGGGCUCAUACCCGAUCUGUGCCGAAGCUAACGCAUUAAGCACUCCGCCCUGGGGAGUACGGUCGCGAAGACUGAAACGUCAAAUGAAUUGACGG